rnacentral:tRNA from 1 species
GCGUUCUUGGUCUAAUGGUUAGGAUUGGUGCCUUCCACUUGUAAAACUAUUCAAGCACAGCACUAGGUCGGGGUUCGAUUCCCCGAGGACGCA